CAGAUUUUGCAGUGAAGCUGUGCAGCUGCAAAAUUAGUCAAAAAUAGCCAGUAAAUACACAACGGACAAGCUCUAAAACAGCGAAAAACUUUAAAAUUAAGGACAUGGGUGACUCGGAUGAUGAAUACGAUCGGAAGCGUCGCGAUAAAUUCCGCGGAGAACGUGGCGGCACCGAGUCUUCCUACCGCUCAGACAGGCGCUCCGACGAACGACGAUCCGGAGGGCGUGACGAAUGGCAAGACAGACCUCGGGGCAGACAAGAUUAUCGGGAAUAUCGACCGCCGCGCGAACGAGCAUAUUCGCCGCCGGAACGAAGUGGCCCGCCGAUGAAGAGAAUGCGUGGCGAUUGGGAAGAAAGACCGCGUUAUGCUCCCGAUCCUUAUGGACUUUAUGGAUAUGGACAUGACCCCUAUGCUCAUGCACCAGCAUUUGGACAUAUGCCGCCCGUCGCUCAUCCACGAGAAGCGGCAAAUCCCGCAUUAGCUGGCGACAUCCAAACACAACCAGCAAUGAUGACAUUGAAGCAAUUUUUGGUAACGCAAGACGAUUCGAUCUCCGAUUCCGACGCAAUUGCCAAAUACAACGAGUACAAACUAGAUUUCCGUCGACAGCAGUUGAAUGAGUUCUUUGUGGCGCACAAAGACGAGGAAUGGUUCAAGAUCAAGUAUCAUCCAGAGGAGUCGGCAAAACGCAAGGAAGAGCAAGUUGGAUAUUUGAAGAAACGCAUUGAAGUGUUCAACGAGUUACUCGAAGCAGGGCUUAUCACAAAAGCGCCCGUGGAUAUGCCCCAAUCGGAGCAACUUAUCCGCCUACUCGAUACGGUUGUCAUUAAACUCGAAGGUGGCACGGAAGAAGACCUUAAAGCACUCGAUCAAAAGCCCCCAGAAGUUCCAAAGCCCCAAAUUGAAGCUCCCGCAGCAAAAACUGAUGCUUCCAAAGCUGACGAAAAGAAAGAAGAUGGUACAAAUGAAGAAAAGACCGAAGCUCCCGCUGCCGAAAAACAAGCGAAAAAACGCAAAAGACAACGUUCGGAAUCGGGAUCGAGCAGCAGUGGCUCGUCGUCAUCCAGUGACUCUUCUGACUCGGAAAAUGAGGAAGAAAAGUCACCGGAAUCUCCAAAGCAAGUCGAACAACCCGAAAACAACGGAAACGACGAAAAAAUGGAAGAAACUGAGACACCUGCUGAACCCGAAGCAGCUCCCGAAACCGAAAAUGACGCACCAAAAUCGCCGAAAGAAGAGGGAGAAGACGUCGAAAUGGCAGAAAAAACGCCCGCAUCGCCAAAAAGCGAAAAAGAAGACGGUGAAAAAGACGAUGGUGAGCUCGAUAAAACAGCUGUUGACGAGCCAGAAGACAAAAAACCCGAAACUAUCGAGCUGGAUGCUGACGUCACGAAAGAACCAAUUCGCGAACUCCAUAAAACAAGUUCGAUUUUCUUGCGAAAUCUCGCUCCGACAGUCACAAAAGCCGAAGUUGAAGCAAUGUGCAAGCGUUACAACGGAUUUUUGCGUGUCGCCAUUGCCGAUCCGCUCGUUGAACGUCGUUGGUUCCGUCGUGGCUGGGUAACAUUCCAACGUGAAGUGAACAUUAAGGAAAUUUGCUGGAAUUUGAACAAUAUUCGAUUGCGCGAUUGCGAACUCGGUGCUAUUGUCAAUCGUGACUUGAGUCGUCGUGUGCGUCCCGUUAACGGCAUCACCGUUCACCGGAACAUCAUUCGAAGCGAUAUUAAGUUGGCUGCCAAGAUCGCGCAUAAUUUGGAUGAAAAAGCAAACUUGUGGAAAUUGGAAGAAGGCGCCACGGAGAACCUUAAAAACGGCGACACCUUCGGAUUCCAAACGAGAAAUCCAGUUUUGCAAAAUAUCACGGAUUUCAUCAUCGAAGAAGGGUCUGCUGAGGAAGAAGAAUUGCUCGGUUUGAGCAAAGAUGAGAACAAAGCAGCUGGCGGCGAAGGAGAAAUGAUUGAACGUGACGACGAGUUGAUUCAAGUGCUCGACAAGAUCAUUUUGUACUUGAGAAUUGUUCAUUCCGUGGACUUUUACAAUCACUGCGAGUAUCCGUAUGAGGAUGAAAUGCCGAAUCGUUGUGGAAUUAUCCAUGCGCGUGGCCCUCCGCCACAAAAUCCGGUCACUCAAACGGAAAUCCAGGACUACACGCGUAAUUUUGAGCAAAAAAUGGAACAAUUCCUCGCAAAAAGUGUCGAAGUUGAGGAAGAGGAGCUCAAACGCUUGGGUUCCAAAGACGCCGACAACGAAGUCGAGAAAUUCAUCAAAGCAAAUUCCCAAGAACUUGGCAAAGACAAGUGGUUGUGCCCGUUAUCCGGAAAGAAAUUCAAGGGACCCGAUUUUAUCCGCAAACACAUUUUCAACAAACACUCCGAAAAGGUCGAGGAAGUACGGAAGGAGGUUGAGUAUUACAACAAUUAUCUCAAAGACGCCAAGAGACCACAAUUGCCCGAAAAUCCAGCAAACACAAAGAAGGCGCAAGAGGCUCCCGUACACAAUGCUUAUCGUCCCCCACCCUACGGCAUGCCAGGAUACAUGCCUCCAUACGGUGGCUAUGCUCCAAUGAUGGGCGGCGGCAGAGGUCGAGGCGGAUUCCGUGGCAGGAACGCGGAACUCAACGAAAGUCUCGAUUCUGGUCUUGCGAUACCAAUUAACCUUAGUAUGAAAUCAAGCGAAGACAACAAGCCGCGUUAUAAAGUAAAAGAUCUUGUAAAGUUUUGGGAUUCCCAAAUUGAGAAAUUUACGAAACAAGGACGAUAGAAAAAAAAAAUUAUUCGGUAAAUGAUGAAAAUUUUUCGAUAAAGUCAUGCAAAAAUAAGAAUGCGAUUAGUUUCCUGACUAGAUUUUUUGGGUGGAGGCGAAUAUCGGCCAGUCAUUCAUUAUCGUGAUUUAGAUGCUCCUCGUGAACCAGAGGAAUUUGCCUAAAUUGUUAAAAAAAAACUAAAUAGAACGAUGUAAAAAAUUUUAAAUGUCACUACUUUCCCG